CUAAAACUUUGGGACAUUUCAUACUUUAAUUUCAUGAUCUUAUCCUUCUUUGACUUGAUAAAGCCUACUAUUGUUGACUGCACAUCACCAGCACCUGAAAAUCAAAAGGCUGUGCAUAUAGGGACUUCUUUCUUUUUAGUAUCAAUAGACCAAUCCCUUUUUUUAAGUUUCGUUUUCAAAGGAAUAUAUACAGGGCGUUUACCACACCUUGGUUAAAAGUCUUCCACUAGCGCUAUCAGUUAUCUCCUGCUUCCACGAUGGGCUACGUUUGCAUUCUCUUCGUUCUUUCUUUGACAAUAUCAACCGCUGGGGGAAUAAAAUGCUACUCGUGUGUCAACGAAGACCCCCUUUCCUGCCUUAAGACCGAAGAAUGUCCCAUCGUGGAUCGCUGUUACAGCCUGGAUCUGACUGGCCUUGGGGGAGGCUUGACUAAGGGAUGUCUACCGAGUGUUGCGUGUGGAACAUUCAGAGCUUGCUGCGAAGGCGAUUUGUGUAACCUUGGGAAUGCCAUCGGAUCAAGCUUCAUUCUCCUGCUGUUGUCUACUGCUGCACUGUAUUUCCUCUGAUCUCCUGAAAUCCUGUUCAUGGAGUUUGCGUUUAGAUUACAUUUAGGGCAUUUAGCAGACGCUUUAUCCAAAGCGACGUACAAUAAUUACAUUUGUCAUAAGAAAGAGGAACAUAACACUGUCGGUAUAGUAAGGAUGUUUCUACAUUUCUGAAGAGGAAUUUCUACGAAGUGCCUAAGAAUAUUCUUUACUGCAAUUCCUCAACAACUUCCUAAUAACGUGUUCCAAUUUAGUUGUUUUUUUAAAGGGACACUGUAAAAAUUACUCCCAUCUAGUGGUACAAUUGUAUAUUGCAUUCAAACUAAUAGUGCUCGCUUGUUCAAAAACUACGGUGGGCAGUAUGUGCCAAGAAGCUGUGUCAUGACAUCCAAUACUACCUCAUCGAGUCAUUGGAGUGAUGAUGAGGUUCGUUAUUUCAAACAAAUAUCAAACUGCAUUGAAUCAUUAGUGUAAAAAAGUGAUUUUCAACCUUUUUUGAGCAGCGGCACACUAUUUACAUUUACAAAAUCCUUGGGCACACAAAAAUGACACUCUAACACAGUACAUAUAAUGCAUAUUGUAGUGGCGAUUUGUCCUCAAUAAAACAAUAACUUGAAAAUUAAGAAAUCAAACAAAGCAACGUAAUCAAAAUAGCCACUGUGGCACCAGGGGGGACGAAUCUUACGCAGUGCAGGGGAAAGAGUCAACUGUCCAGUCGUGAAUUUAGAUUUCUGCAGGUUUAUUUUCCGAUCUUCCAAGCAAACAAAACAAAUGUGCAACAGUGUGAACCAGCAGCCUCGUUCCUUUGUCUCUCUCGUACAGCUGGUAAAAAACCAUGACCCUUCUCAGUGCCUGUCUUACCUAUGUCCGCCACCUCUAUAAAUAGGCUAUAGUAAUAACUUCAAAACAAAAGCAUAAGGAAAACUCAAAUUAACUAAUUUAUAAUACAAACGAGAAAAUAAACAAAAGUCAUAUUAUUUUAUAUUAAGCAAACAAACUAAAUACAUGUUUUACAAUUAAAUCUAAGAACUUCAUAGCUCCAACACAUAGUUAAUAUUAUAGUUUCUAAAUUUAUUUAUACUCACUUAGUGUGAAACCUGGGCCUGUUUCGAUGAACACAAAAUGGAAAUCCUGGCAGGAAUGGUAGGAAGACACACACAAAGCUCUUCCUCAACAGCUCUCAGUCUCUCUCUGUUUAAAUGUUUAAUUACCAUUAGGGCUGGCCCGAAUGCAAUUUUUCAGGCUUCGACUACUCGUUGGUUUUCACGAGCGAAUAUUCGAAUACUCGUUCCAGAAAAAAACACCAUCAAAAACAACAUUAAUAAUCCUUAUAUACUCCCUGGAACCGAUUUUGACAGUUUCUGCAUAUUUUGGUGAAUAUGUAAUAGCUUUUGAACGUUAAUUAGUAGGCCUAAGUAGGUUGAAGUUCUUUAGUUUUUCCCCGUGAAAGCGAACAGCUGUUGUUCCGUUCCAAAUCAGCUGCCUCUGCCAUCUCAGCCCUUACGGGAGCAUCUCAAUUCAUCCUGGAACGUGCAUCUUUUCAGGGAAUUUGUACAAUAAAUCCAUAACAAAUACCGAAUAUUGAUUCUUAUGUGUCCAUAUUAUAUCCAUUAUAUUGACUGGGUAUUCCCAAGACGCUCACGCUCUGCAGCAAUCCAGUCACAGUUGAUUGGCGCAGCGCUGUACAGCGAACGUAAACAACGUGUUUUUGCACUGGAAAUGGCAGUGAAGUAAGGCCUGGAAGGUUUUAGACAGCACUGGUAAGCGAAUGGGCAGAGAAAGCUAAGUUAAAAGACUUACACAGAGGAGUAGGGGUGAUUUGGCCUCCGGUACGCAGGUGGAAAUGUGGAGGUGGGUCCGCCAGUGCGGUAGAUAAGGGCUGAUUAUGGUCCACGUUCACGCAACGCAAUGAGCAACCUAUGCGUCCGUCGACGGAUGAGGGCUUUUUGACGUAUCCAUGUGUUUUUCCGGGUCGUAUUACAAAGGCGAUCUGAUUGACCGACGGAUCCGUCGCUACCUGAAGUUGAACAUUUCUAAACGUUUUGGCUGUCUCAAUUCACGGGACGAUGCGGUCUAUGAAGGUGGGGCCUUCGUAGACCGUGAAGGCCGGACCGAAGGCCGAACGAACGUUUUUAAAUGAGACGAUCUGGUCUACCGAGCGUUGGCGUAACC
ensembl:lncRNA